rnacentral:tRNA from 2 species
GCACGUGUGGCGGAAUAGGCAGACGCAAGGGACUUAAAAUCCCUCGGUGGCAACACCGUGCCGGUUCAAGUCCGGCCACGUGCA